UACGAGAGGCCCAAACGUUAUUCGGAAUUACUGGGCUUAAAGAGUUCGUAGGCGGCGCAGAAAGUAGGGUGUGAAAGCCCUCGGCUCAACCGAGGAAUUGCGCUCUAAACUACUGUGCUUGAGGAAUCUAGAGGUGAGCGGAACUGAUGGUGGAGCGGUGAAAUGCGUUGAUAUCAUCAGGAACACCGGAGGCGAAGGCGGCUCACUGGGGAUUUUCUGACGCUG
rnacentral:rRNA from 1 species